rnacentral:rRNA from 1 species
AUACGGGAGGCAGCAGUGGGGAAUAUUGGACAAUGGGCGAAAGCCUGAUCCAGCCAUGCCGCGUGAGUGAUGAAGGCCUUAGGGUUGUAAAGCUCUUUCGCACGCGACGAUAAUGACGGUAGCGUGACAAGAAGCCCCGGCUAACUUCGUGCCAGCAGCCGCGGUAAUACGAAGGGGGCUAGCGUUGUUCGGAAUCACUGGGCGUAAAGCGCAUGCAGGCGGAUCGUUAAGUCGGGGGUGAAAUCCCGAGGCUCAACCUCGGAACUGCCUUCGAUACUGGCGAUCUUGAGUCCGGGAGAGGUGAGUGGAACUGCGAGUGUAGAGGUGAAAUUCGUAGAUAUUCGCAAGAACACCAGUGGCGAAGGCGGCUCACUGGCCCGGUACUGACGCUCAGGUGCGAAAGCGUGGGGAGCAAACAGGAUUAGAUACCCCCGUAGUCCC